rnacentral:tRNA from 1 species
CCAGGCCGUGGAAGAAGGUGACCUUGUUCUUCUUGAACAGGAACAGGAUGCCGUCGUUGUUCUGCUUGACGAUGGUGUCCUUGCGCUUGAGC